UACGUAGGUGGCAAGCGUUGUCCGGAUUUAUUGGGUUUAAAGGGUGCGUAGGCGGCCCUGUAAGUCAGUGCUGAAAUAUCCCGGCUUAACCGGGAGGGUGGCAUUGAUACUGCAAGGCUUGAGUACAGAUGAAGUAGGCGGAAUUGACGGUGUAGCGGUGAAAUGCAUAGAUAUCGUCAAGAACACCGAUAGCGAAGGCAGCUUACUAAGCUGUGACUGACGCUGAGGCACGAAAGUGUGGGGAUCAAACAGG
rnacentral:rRNA from 1 species